UACGUAGGGGGCAAGCGUUGUCCGGAAUCAUUGGGCGUAAAGCGCGUGUAGGCGGUUCGAUUAGUCUGCUGUGAAAGUCGGGGGCUCAACCCUCGAAAGCCGGUGGAUACUGUCGGGCUAGAGUGCGGAAGAGGCGAGUGGAAUUCCUGGUGUAGCGGUGAAAUGCGCGGAUAUCAGGAGGAACACCAAUUGCGAAGGCAGCUCGCUGGGACGUAACUGACGCUGAGACGCGAAAGCGUGGGGAGCAAACAGG
rnacentral:rRNA from 1 species